AAGGGGUGCAGCGUCAUUUACAUCAGCCUCUCCUCCGGGUGUGGCCGCUUCGCCCGGGGGAUCCGUCGAAGCGGCUAGCCGAGCGCAAGCCUGCCGGUGGGCGGGCGCGAAGCGAAGCUCAAACCACUAGGCUAAGCAUGUAGUCCUGACUGUGUAGGGCUUACGGACGCGGGUUCGAUUCCCGCCGCCUCCACCA
rnacentral:tmRNA from 1 species